rnacentral:rRNA from 1 species
CCAGACUCCUACGGGAGGCAGCAGUGGGGAAUAUUGGGCAAUGGGCGCAAGCCUGACCCAGCAACGCCGCGUGAAGGAAGAAGGCUUUCGGGUUGUAAACUUCUUUUGACAGGGAAGAGCAGAAGACGGUACCUGUCGAAUAAGCCACGGCUAACUACGUGCCAGCAGCCGCGGUAAUACGUAGGUGGCAAGCGUUGUCCGGAUUUACUGGGUGUAAAGGGCGUGUAGCCGGGCUGACAAGUCAGAUGUGAAAUCCGGGGGCUCAACCCCCGAACUGCAUUUGAAACUGUUGGUCUUGAGUAUCGGAGAGGCAGGCGGAAUUCCUGGUGUAGCGGUGAAAUGCGUAGAUAUCAGGAGGAACACCGGCGGCGAAGGCGGCCUGCUGGACCGUGACUGACGUUGAGGCUCGAGAGCGUGGGGAGCAAACAGGAUUAGAUACCCGAGUACUC